GACAGAGGGUGCAAACGUUGUUCGGAAUUACUGGGCGUAAAGAGCUCGUAGGCGGUUGGGUAAGUCGGGUGUGAAAACUCCAGGCUCAACUUGGAGAUGCCACCCGAUACUGCUCUGACUUGAGUUCGGUAGGGGAGUGGGGAAUUCCUGGUGUAGCGGUGAAAUGCGCAGAUAUCAGGAGGAACACCGGUGGCGAAGGCGCCACUCUGGGCCGAUACUGACGCUGAUGCGCGAAAGCCAGGGGAGCGAACGGG
rnacentral:rRNA from 1 species